GAUGAACGCUGGCGGCGUGCUUAACACAUGCAAGUCGAACGAAGAUGCCGGAGUGCUUGCACUUUGGCAGACUGAGUGGCGGACGGGUGAGUAACGCGUGGGUAACCUGCCUUAUACAGGGGGAUAACAGUUGGAAACGACUGCUAAUACCGCAUAAGCGCACGGUAUCGCAUGAUACAGUGUGAAAAACUCCGGUGGUAUAAGAUGGACCCGCGUCUGAUUAGCUAGUUGGUGAGGUAACGGCCCACCAAGGCGACGAUCAGUAGCCGGCCUGAGAGGGUGAACGGCCACAUUGGGACUGAGACACGGCCCAAAUCCCUAGGGAGCAGCAGUGGGGAAUAUUGCACAAUGGGGGAAACCCUGAUGCAGCGACGCCGCGUGAGUGAUGAAGUAUUUCGGUAUGUAAAACUCUAUCAGCAGGGAAGAUAAUGACGGUACCUGACUAAGAAGCACCGGCUAAAUACGUG
rnacentral:rRNA from 1 species